GGCACGAUAGUUGAAUUGGUAAAGUAAGUGGAACGUCAUAUACCGGAGGUCGCGGGUUCGGUUCCUGUUCGUGUCG
rnacentral:tRNA from 1 species